GCUGAUAAGGUUUCAAACCAUCUUCCCUGACAGUACGGUCCCUGGUAGAGUGCUUUUUAGCUGUUAAUCCCAGCUGGCAAAAUAAUAGCCCAUGAGCUCUCUUUUCUCAACGCAGAGAGAACUUCUUCAAACACGCGAACCUGUAGAGGUCCCAAGAGGAAGAGGCAUUCUGAGUAAGACCAUUCGUAGCUGUGGGGCACUGUCCUGUAACUGCAUGAGACGGUUCAGCUCUCUUGCCCACCUCCCAUCCCACACCCACCGUGCCCCUCACAAAAGUUCUACACUUUUCAAAUGCUCAGCUGGGGAAUGACACU
rnacentral:lncRNA from 1 species